CGUACGAUACGAGUUUUGAUCAUGGCUCAGAACGAACGCUGGCGGCAGGCUUAACACAUGCAAGUCGAACGCUCGUAGCAAUACGGGAGUGGCGGACGGGUGAGUAACGCGUGGGAACGUGCCCUGAGGUACGGAAUAACUGCGGGAAACUGCAGCUAAUACCGUAUGAGCCCCGUGAGGGGGAAAGAUUUAUCGCCUUUAGGAGCGGCCCGCGUCGGAUUAGCUAGUUGGUGGGGUAACGGCUUACCAAGGCUUCGAUCCGUAGCUGGUCUGAGAGGACGAUCAGCCACACUGGGACUGAGACACGGCCCAGACUCCUACGGGAGGCAGCAGUGGGGGAAUCUUGCGCAAUGGGGGCAACCCUGACGCAGCCAUGCCGCGUGAAUGAUGAAGGCCUUAGGGUUGUAAAGUUCUUUUGCCCGUGACGAUGAUGACGGUAACGGGAGAAUAAGCUCCGGCUAACUUCGUG
rnacentral:rRNA from 1 species